GCGGGCCUGUAAGUCAGUGGUGAAAUCUCACAGCUUAACUGUGAAACUGCCAUUGAUACUGCAGGUCUUGAGUAAAUUUGAAGUGGCUGGAAUAAGUAGUGUAGCGGUGAAAUGCAUAGAUAUUACUUAGAACACCAAUUGCGAAGGCAGGUCACUAAGAUUUAACUGACGCUGAUGGACGAAAGCGUGGGGAGCGAACAGGAUUAGAUACCCUGGUAGUCCACGCCGUAAACGAUGCUAACUCGUUUUUGGGCUUUCGGGCUCAGAGACCAAGCGAAAGUGAUAAGUUAGCCACCUGGGGAGUACGAACGCAAGUUUGAAACUCAAAGGAAUUGACGGGGGCCCGCACAAGCGGUGGAUUAUGUGGUUUAAUUCGAUGAUACGCGAGGAACCUUACCAAGACUUAAAUGGGAAUUGACAGAUCUGGAAACAGAUCCUUCUUCGGACAAUUUUCAAGGUGCUGCAUGGUUGUCGUCAGCUCGUGCCGUGAGGUGUUAGGUUAAGUCCUGCAACGAGCGCAACCCCUGUCACUAGUUGCUAACAUUCAGUUGAGGACUCUAGUGAGACUGCCUACGCAAGUAGAGAGGAAGGUGGGGAUGACGUCAAAUCAUCACGGCCCUUACGUCUUGGGCCACACACGUAAUACAAUGGCCGGUACAGAGGGCAGCUACACAGCGAUGUGAUGCAAAUCUCGAAAGCCGGUCUCAGUUCGGAUUGGAGUCUGCAACUCGACUCUAUGAAGCUGGAAUCGCUAGUAA
rnacentral:rRNA from 1 species